rnacentral:lncRNA from 1 species
AGUCGCUAGGUAACGGGGCUGGCUCCGCAGACCCGGGGCCGGGGAAGCCCGCGCGCGUUGUCAGCAGCGGCGCCUUGGGGCGGGGGCGCACAGAUCCUCCCCAUCCCGGCCUGCAGAACCCCGCUCGCGCGCAGCCCCCGCGCAGGAUGCCUUAACCCGCGGCGAUCGCUGCAGCUGAGGUGCCCCUCCCCAGCAGAGACCCCGACGCAGCCAGCCCCUUCCUCCUUCCCCGCAGGUGCGCACUGCUCUGCGUGCGGCCGGUGGGCGUCCCGCCGCUGCGGUCGCGGUAGCCGCUGAUCCUCCCUCCGAGCCCCGGCGCGGGGCAUGAGAGCCCCCGGGUGCCGCCCAGAGACCAGCCGGCUGCGCGCACACCUCGCCAGCGGCAGACGGGGACAUGAGCAGCGCGCACAGGGUCCCGCGCCCGGCGGCCAGCCCCAUCCGGCGGCGGCCCGCGGGUCAACGCUGCCCGGGAGAAUGAGGCAGGAGCCGGCGGCAGCCUCCUUUUUCCUCCUCUUCGCCUUCCUGCGGCUCCGGCGCUCCGGACCCGGGCCGAGCUUUGGCUCUGCUGCGUGCCCCGCGCGCCCCUCAACCGGCUCCGGAUGCGCUUCUCGGUUAGCCUGGUGAGGAAGAUAAAGACAUUUGCAACCAAGAUGGUAAUCACGAGUGGAAAUGAUGAAGACAGAGGAGGUCAAGAAAAAGAAAGUAAGGAGGAGAGUGUCUUGGCAAUGCUGGGGAUUAUUGGGACCAUUCUGAACCUGAUUGUGAUCAUAUUUGUCUACAUAUACACCACCCUGUGAAUGGCCCAGAGUGUCCUCAGAGGCCUCGGGAUGGCCAGAGACGGAAGUCCUGCGUGUCGGCGUAUCACUGACCAGACCCUGCGAGAACCAGCAGGCUUGACCCACCCACACCACCCAAUCAAAUGCACCUUCAGACUUUACAGAAGGUCACACAAAUAGACCGAUCCUGCUGCAGGGACCAGACACUAAAGCACAAUGAUUCCAACAAAACUCAUUCACAGCACUAGGAACUCAACGUCUUUGGCAGGGGGCCCAGAAGAAUGCUUGGACGACCAGCCUCUGACACCAUCGGUGAGCGGAUGGGUGCAGAAAUUCAUUAUUCCAGAUCGCUGACGGGUAUCACAUAUUUGAAAAGAUGAAUAGGGUGGACACGGCUCAGAUGUGUGUCUCCCAGGACAAGUGUUUCAUCUUCACUUGACGAGCUAUUUAGUGGAAAAACCACAGGGGCAGCCCUUUGACAGGCAUCCCAUUCAUCAAAAGUGUCUAACUAUUUGAUACCGGGGAGAUAACUUAUUUUUCUUUUUUCAUUGGCUUGAUGUGUGUAUCUGUUCAUAUCAAGGUUUAUAAAUAUAUAUUUUUAAUAAAUGUGCUCUAUUUUUUAGCAUGAACCAAAUACUUGGAAAGGCACUCCCAGAUCCAUAGAGCUUUCCUUGGUUUUAUCUGCUUU